UGAGGAAUAUUGGGCAAUGCCCGCCAGGGUGACCCAGCAACGCCGCGUGGAGGAUGAAUGUCGUAAGAUUGUAAACUCCUGUUAGAGGGGAAGAAUAGUACCGGUUGGACCGGUAUAUGACUGUACCCUCAGAGAAAGCCCCGGCUAACUACGUGCCAGCAGCCGCGGUAAUACGUAGGGGGCAAGCGUUGUCCGGAUUUACUGGGUGUAAAGGGCGCGCAGGCGGGAUAAAAAGUCAGUGGUGAAAUCCUACAGCUUAACUGUAGAACUGCCUUUGAUACUUGUAUUCUUGAGUUCGGGAGAGAGAGACGGAAUUCCAGGUGUAGUGGUGAAAUACGUAGAUAUCUGGAAGAACACCAGUUGCGAAGGCGGUCUCUUGGUCCGACACUGACGCUGAGGCGCGAAAGCGUGGGGAGCAAACA
rnacentral:rRNA from 1 species